rnacentral:rRNA from 1 species
UACAGAGGGUGCGAGCGUUGUUCGGAAUUACUGGGCGUAAAGCGCGCGCAGGCGGAUGAUGCAAGUCUGGAGUGAAAUCUCGUCGCUCAACGGCGAGGCUGCUACGGAUACUGUACGUCUGGGGACUGGUAGAGGCUGGUAGAAUUCCCGGUGUAGCGGUGGAAUGCGUAGAGAUCGGGAAGAAUACCCGUGGCGAAGGCGGCCAGCUGGGCCAGAUCCGACGCUGAGGCGCGAAAGCGUGGGGAGCAAACAGG